GCCGGGGUAAGCUUAAUGCUACCUCUUUUCUUUUGUUUGUUAUUUUCUUUGAAUAAGAGGAUUGAGAGUUUCUGAAUAUUAUGAAGUGAAUUAUGGAAUGGAAAUAUGAUUGGUACUAUUUGAGAAGAAGAAAGAUUGAAUGCUGAAAUCUGAUUGUAGUUCAGUAGAGAGAAUGAAUCUGUGUUUGUAUGAAACACUGUAAUGUGAAUGGCAGUUCUGUGUGAAGAAUUCCAAUGAUUGGAACAAGGGUAAUUGUGUGCUGAAGGUGUGAGGGCGUAGUAUUAUAGUUGGAGAUUAUGAGGGUGAAUAUAUUGGUAGAAAUAGCAUUUAUUGGUAUGACUGAAUUGUUGUAACGAAGAGACCGAUAAGGUGAAAGAGGAGAUUAUAGUUUCUUUGUGUGUUGAGAUAUUGGAAAUAGAGACAAUACAUUCAAGAAGUAAUUGAUUGUAUGAUCCUAACGUGAACGCUUAAGCAACUAGUCAUUCUCCGUGUUCAAAUCUCCCUAUACGGGUUUAUUCUGGAAGGUUUCUUCUAGAAUAAGUAAAACGAGCAAUCACAUACUUCUUUGUUUCUUUGUUUCUUUGUUGUUGAAGAGUAAUGGAUAAUUUCUGAAUACUGAGGAGUUUGUGGAAUAAAUCAGAGAUUGAUUUAUGAGUUAUUGAUUAUAUAAUUGGAGUACUGAGUGAUUGAAUUAUAUGAGAAGUUAUUGGAAGAUUGAUUAUGGAUGGAAGAUUAUGA
rnacentral:lncRNA from 1 species